rnacentral:lncRNA from 1 species
CUAAAUAAAUAUAUUAAUUUAAACAAAAAAAUAAAAGAAUCAAUUCCUAUAAAAUAUUAUGUAUAAAUAUAUUAAAAAUUCAAACUCUUAUAUUUAAUCUAAUCUAAUAUAAAUUUUUAUAACAGUACGUUAAUAUAAAAUUAUUAUUUAAUAUAUUUGUAAUAUACAUACAAGAUAUGUAAUAUAGAGUGAGGCUACUAUGCUUCUGGAAGUACGGAGCCUUCCGUGCUUCCAGGUCGUUUUUGAUGUUGUGACUUUCGAAUCGUCGAUCGGCUCCGAUCUAGAGUAUUUGAAGUACCUAGAAAAUAAAUUUUGUAAUUUUUCGAUAUCAUUUGCCUAGUAAACUAAGGGGCUCAAAAUCAACGGUUGAAAAUAAAAAUCUUACAAAACGCGAUAAUAUGACAUUAAAAUUUUAGAUCAAAGAUAUUGAUCUUGUUUUAUAUAGUAUAAAUAAUUUUCUAUCAAAAUUUUACGUGAUUUGGAUAUUUCUACACCAUUAAACUUGCAAACGGCUCACCACGGCCAUUAAAAUUAUUGAUUUUGAGUUCCUUCGAUCACUAGGCAAAUGAUAUCGAAAAAUCAUAAAAUUUAUUUUCUAAGUACUUCAAAUAUUCUAGAUCAAGUUUAACGGAGCCGAUCGACGAUUUGAAACUCGCAACAUCGAAAACGACCUGAAAGUACGGAAGGCUCCGUGCUUGCAGAAGCAUAGUAGCCUCACUCUGUAAUAUAUUAUAUUUAUAAAUAUUGUUAACAAUAUUAGUAUGUGUAAUAUUAUUAAUAAUAUAAUAUAAUAUAAUCGGCUAGUAAUAUAAUUUUAAUUUUAAUGAUUAAUAAUAUUAAAUUUUAGUACAUUUAAAAAUAAUAUUACUGUAUAAUAAUGUAAAAUUAUAUAUUAUAUU